CACCGUUCAUGUAUCCACGUCUCGUAAGUUGGAACAACACCCCAUUCCCCUGCAAGGUGGACGUGAUUGCGGAUGUUAUGAAAAAUUUAAAACGAUUUAAGGUUUGAAUGUUAGUUUCUUGCAUUGGAAAUAUUUUAACUUGUUCGUAAAAUUAAUUGUUUGCUCGCUUUAGGUUAUUGAGAAGCUAGAACCAAGAGAGGAGGAGUUGCACCUUCUC
rnacentral:lncRNA from 1 species